GAUGAACGCUGGCGGCGUGCUUAACACAUGCAAGUCGAACGAAGACAUCUGAGUGCUUGCACUUGGAUGGACUGAGUGGCGGACGGGUGAGUAACGCGUGGGUAACCUGCCUUAUACAGGGGGAUAACAGUUGGAAACGACUGCUAAUACCGCAUAAGCGCACGGUAUCGCAUGAUACAGUGUGAAAAACUCCGGUGGUAUAAGAUGGACCCGCGUCUGAUUAGCUUGUUGGUGAGGUAACGGCCCACCAAGGCGACGAUCAGUAGCCGGACUGAGAGGUUGACCGGCCACAUUGGGACUGAGAUACGGCCCAGACUCCUACGGGAGGCAGCAGUGGGGAAUAUUGGGCAAUGGGCGCAAGCCUGACCCAGCAACGCCGCGUGAAGGAAGAAGGCUUUCGGGUUGGUAAACUUCUUUUAAGUAGGGUAAGAGACAGAAGACUGUA
rnacentral:rRNA from 1 species